rnacentral:rRNA from 1 species
CCUACGGGGGGCAGCAGUGGGGAAUAUUGGACAAUGUGGGGAACCCUGAUCCAGCCAUGCCGCGUGUGUGAAGAAGGCCCUCGGGUUGUAAAGCACUUUCAGUGAGGAAGAACGCCUGGUGGUUAAUACCCAUCAGGAAAGACAUCACUCACAGAAGAAGCACCGGCUAACUCCGUGCCAGCAGCCGCGGUAAUACGGAGGGUGCGAGCGUUAAUCGGAAUUACUGGGCGUAAAGCGCGCGUAGGUGGCUUGAUAAGCCGGUUGUGAAAGCCCCGGGCUCAACCUGGGAACGGCAUCCGGAACUGUCAAGCUAGAGUGCAGGAGAGGAAGGUAGAAUUCCCGGUGUAGCGGUGAAAUGCGUAGAGAUCGGGAGGAAUACCAGUGGCGAAGGCGGCCUUCUGGACUGACACUGACACUGAGGUGCGAAAGCGUGGGUAGCAAACAGGAUUAGAUACCCCUGUAGUC